rnacentral:rRNA from 1 species
AUACGGAGGGUGCAAGCGUUAUUCGGAAUCACUGGGCGUAAAGGACGCGUAGGCGGGUUGGCAAGUCAGAUGUGAAAUCCUACAGCUUAACUGUAGAACUGCAUUUGAAACUGCUAACCUAGAGUAUGGGAGGGGGAGAUGGAAUUAGUGGUGUAGGGGUAAAAUCCGUAGAUAUCACUAGGAAUACCGAAAGCGAAGGCGAUCUCCUGGAACAUAACUGACGCUAAGGCGUGAAAGCGUGGGGAGCAAACAGGAUUAGAUACCCUGGUAGUCC